GGAAACACAAACUGCCUUAAUGGCAUUAUGGAGCAAUGUACUUGAAAUUGAUACUGUAUUAUAUUUCAGAGAGAUGCACCUUUCAUCUCAAAUUCAAGUAUUAAAAAGAUCUCAGAGAGUAAAUUACAAUCUGUGCAUACAUUAUUUUGGGACACAACCUCCUACUAGUCCUUCAAAAUCAAUCUUAGCAGAAAAGAUUGGAACACACUACACUGCAGGCUCAAGGUGCCAUCUCCAGCUUCUUGAUGUUCUGAAUAUGCUUCCCGGGAUUUAAUCCCUUUGGGCAAGCACGAGAACAAUUCAGAAUAGUAUGGCAGCGAUAAAGCUUGAAUUCGUCAUUAACUGCAUCCAGGCGCUCCUGAGUAUAUUCAUCACGGCUAUCCAUGAUCCAUCGGUUGGCAUGGAGGAGUGCAGCGGGACCAAGAUAAGACUCAGGAUUCCACCAGUAGCUAGGACAUGAUGUGCUACAGCAAGCACAUAGAAUACAUUCGUACAUCCCAUCCAACUUAGCCCUAUCGCUCUUGCUCUGUGGUAUCUCCUUCCCAGGCGUUGGUGCAGGUGUCUUCCUCUUAAGCCAAGGCUCAAUAGACUUGUACUGAUUAUAGAAAUUAGUCAUAUCCACCACCAGAUCCUUAAUGACAAACAUAUGUGGCAACGGCGUAAUCGUCGAUUCAGAAUCCGACGAGAUCUUGGUCAAACAAGCGAGUCCAUUACAUCCGUCGAUGUUCAUAGCACAUGAACCACAGAUCCCUUCUCUACAGGAUCUCCUGAAGGUAAGUGUAGGGUCAAUUUCAUUCUUGAUUUUGAUUAGCGCAUCUAAAACCAUAGGUCCGCAUUCCUUCAGAUCGAUUUUGUAUUCUUUGAGCUCAGGUUUCCCUGGGUUGUCUGGAGUCCAUCGGUAAAUUUGAAAUGAUUUGAGAUUAGGCUUAGAUUCUAUCUUCUGUGCUUGGGAGUCGGAAGCGUGAGCUCUGGCGACGAGUAGCCUCGCCGCCGGUGCUGAUGACUGAACCCUAGAAAUCGCUCGUCGGAUUAAACUAGUCGCCAUUGAAGAAUGAAUGAAUACCAAAAACGGAGUGAUUGGAUAGGUUGCUACUAGAGAAAGC
rnacentral:misc_RNA from 1 species